AUUACAACAGUAUGCCUCACAUUU
rnacentral:sRNA from 1 species